rfam:Pan troglodytes isolate Yerkes chimp pedigree #C0471 (Clint) chromosome 3, whole genome shotgun sequence.
GCUGGGCAUGGUGCGGGUGCCUGUAAUCCCAGCUGCGGUGGGAGGAUCGUUUGAGUUCAGGAGCUCUGGGCUGCAGUGCGCUAUGCCAGUUGGGUGUCUACACUAAGUUUGGCAUUAGUAUGGUGACUUCCUGGGAGCUAGAGCUCAUCAGGUUGCCUAAAGGAGGGGUGAAGCAACCAAGGUCAGAGACGAAGCAGGUCAAAACUCCUGUGCUGAUCAGUAGUGGGCUUGUGCCCAUGAAUAGCCACUGCACUCCAGCCUGGGCAACAUAGUGAGACUUGUCUCUA